CCCACGGAUCAUCAUGCUCAAACCCCCCUGCCACAGGCAGGGCCACUGACCUCCAGAUCUGGAAUCUCAGAGAUAUUCUACCAGAAUACUCAAUCUAUAUAUUCUGGAACAACUUCAGACUAGCAGUUUAAAGUUUCAGAGGAUUUAACUGCUCAUUUUGAUCCACAACUUCAUGGAAAGUCACUAAAAAGAGAGGGAGAGAGAGAGAAGAGAAGAAAAAA